ACGUUCUCUCAACCAAUUCUAUUGUCUCAUAAACCAAACGAAAUUACGUUUUAACAUUUAAAACAACAGAAGAGGAAGUGGAGCUCGAACUCCGGUGACGUCAAAAGCUCAAAAUGGACAAGAAUCACUAGAAACCUUUGGACUUUUGGUCGACAUUAUAACACGCUUUUAAAAAUGGACUCGGAGACUCAAAAUUGACGACCCAUUCUCUAGAAGCAAUAUCGGGACACACGCAAAAAUGGAGUAUAUGUCAACGUGUACAAUAAUAUUAUAUAUUGCGAAUCAUAGAAAGAGGUUGCGAGUGGGGGGCCACGCGCCAUUAGGUGAAAGUUCCACCGUGGAAGUCUCAAGUCUCUCCACUUUGUUUACUUUGAAGGGGAAGUCAAAAUCUCUCACCUACA